rnacentral:lncRNA from 1 species
UGAAAGAAACUGCAACUUCAUGUACAGUUGUAGGUGCUCUUGUUGUCACUAUGAUGUUUGCUGCAGCAUUUACAGUUCCUGGCGGAAACAAUGAAGAUACAGGUGCACCUAUGUUCUUAAAGGCAAAGGAGUUCAUGGUAUUCAUUGUCUCAGAUGCAAUAUCAUUGUUUUCUUCUACUACUUCGGUGAUGAUAUUUUUAGGAAUUCUCACAUCACGUUACAAAGAAGAUGACUUCCUAAAAUCUCUACCGACCAAGAUGAUAUUGGGCCUUUUCACACUUUUUCUCUCCAUCGCAACCAUGAUGAUUACUUUUUCUGCUGCCCUUUACAUUAUGCUUCAUGGGAAACUAUGCAUCAUUAUCCCAGUUAUAUUACUUUCUAGCGUUCCAAUCGCCUCAUUUGUCUGGAUGCAAUUUCCCUUCUUUGUGGAGAUCUUCGUUUCCACUUACGGGGCGGAUAUAUUUGAUAAGAAAAAUCUAGAAAAAACUUGGGAAACAAUCUUAGAUUGCUAAUGUCUGAUGAAGAUUAUGUUUCAUUUUGCUGCUAUGUAAGAAGUGCUUGUAAUGGAAGCUUGGAACAAUGUACACUGCUUCCUAUUUUAUAGUGUAUAUGCUAUUAUCUAUAUGCUCACCAGAUCACCUGAUCAGUUCCGUUUGCAUUAUGGCAUAACACCUGCAGAAUUGGAAUAUUGAUUCAUUGUUGCAGCAGUUUAUUGAUGUACAUAUCUGUGACAUUGAGAUUUGACCUCAUUUAUUCCUACAGAAAACACUUGCUUUCAUCUCAUCUGACUUUUAUAGCUAUAGCUCGAGUAGUUCUCUUUUCAAUAAGUGGGUUUGACCAUUUGAGUUCGAUUAAUCAUUAAAUUUGAUUAGAUUUGUUGUUGCUAUACAAAAUUGGGGAGACAUCAUGUUUUUGUUAAAUAAGAAAUUUUUUUUUUUAGUAGGAUAUACUUCAAAUAUAAAUACCACUAUAAAUACGACAAUUCAGUUUAUGAGGACUAUGUAAAAAUCGACAUGUUUCAAUAUUCUGACCUAUUUUAAUACUGAAAUUUCUAUGAUUAAGCUCAGUUCAUACUCCUCGAUCUUUACCUAAACAGACCCCUUAAUUUGUUAAUCAUCAAAAUAAACCACCUAUGAAGUAAAUAGUCUUUUCUCCAGGUAAAAGAAAGUUACUAAAUUAGUAAGAAGCCUCUCUUGGCAUUCGUUUGAGCGGGCCUCUAGUUGGGCCUUCUGUAAUUCUAGAAAAACACCUUCUCCUUCUCCUUCCUCGCACCCUAAUCGCUCUCACUGAUCUAUUUCAUUUAAAUUCUCCGAUCACCGUCCACGAUCAAACCGAACAUUCCAAAUCCUCCGCCGCAAUUCUUUGUUUUCUUUAAUUCCUACGCAAAAUUACGCAGCUUUGAUUUCCUGCGAGGCUUGAGCUAGCUUGGCUCUGUUCAGGUCUCUCAUAUAUUUCUGUGUUUUUGAGCUGUUUAUGGUUUGGUUAUUGAAACCGCGAACAGUCUUCAGGAAAUACUCUGUCCCUUGAGACUCUGUAUCGUAUACUUUGCCCCUCUAAAAAAAUUGGUGGUGUAAUUGGGAAAGGUGGUGGCAUAAUCAAGUCCCUGAGAGAAGAGACCCGGUCCAAGAUUACAGUUUCUGAUUCUGUUCCUGGCUCAGAUGAGAGAGUAAUUAUUAUAUUUAGUCCGCCAACCAAAAUUUCGAGGAAACAAAAUAGUGAUGAAGAUUCACAUAAGGCUGAUGAACAGAAGCCCUUGGAGCCACACUGUGCUGCCCAAGAUGCACUGUUGAAAGUUCAUGAUAGGAUUGUGGAGGAAGAUCUCUAUAAUGGGGUUACAUUUGAUGAUGAUAACGAGAAUAUUGUUGUCACAAGACUUCUAGUUCCAAACAACUUGGUAGGAUGUCUGCUAGGAAAGCGUGGGGAAGUUAUAAAAAGAUUGCGAAGUGAGACACGUGCAAACAUUCGUGUUCUUCAUGCAGAUCAGCUUCCUACUUGUGCACUGGAUACUGAUGAAUUGGUGCAGUUACUCUUUUCUUUUUGAAUUAAAUUCAGUUUACCCUCUUAUGGUUUAGGGGUGACUUCAUGUUAGUCCCUACACUUUUAUUUUCAUCAGUUUACCCCUUGAACUCUUCAAUUUCUGUCUGCCGUGCCUAAAUUCUCAUAUUCCGUUUGAAUUGACCUUUAAUUAUCAGCAGUUAAGGUCCGAUUUGGACAUAUAAGGUAUGAUUUUGACAUAUAAGGUCCGAUUUGUCCAAAUUCUAAAUAUUGGCCUCACAGUUAAGGUUAAAAUUAUCAGCAGUUAACGUUCGAUUUAGACAGAAUAUAGGACAUUUGGUCACGCUUGAGGAAAAUUCAAAAGUUUGAGGGGUAAAUUGAUGAAAUUGAAAGUAUAGGGAUUAACAUGAAGUUACUCCCGAACCUCAUGGGGGUAAACUGAAUUUAAUUCUUUCUUUUUUAUUGUUUGCUUCCUUGCCCACUUUUCAACGUAUGACAAAUGACAACAAAUUUAGUUCAACUUAUAUUCCAAAUUUAGUUAUAUGAGUUUAACUAUUGGUUCCUGUGUGAAGGAUUGUGUUGGUUAUGGGCAUUAAAAUGCCUUGUAAAGCAUUGUCUUUGCUUCUAGAGUAACUAGCUUAUAGGUGGGAGGGUUUUCUUUUGUCUCUUGAAUCUUGAUGCUAAGCAACGGAUAUGGCAUGUGUUUUUACUGUUUAUAUAUGUUUUUUCCAAUCAUGCAUGGGAUACCUUUUGUUUAGUAUGAGGUAUGGCAUUAUUUCUUCAAUGUACUUUAGGUAUAAUUUUUGGGUUUGUUAAUACCUAUAGUACAACCACCGGCAAGUUUUAGAAUUUCUGUCUAGGUAGGUAUAAAAGGUUUAACAAGAUCAUUUGUCUACUUCCUCUUUUUCUGGGUGUUGAAGACGGUUUUAAAUUUCUAUUUUUACAAGUUAAACGAUAUUGAAUUGAUUUUGGUGCGAUCCCUGGUAGCUUUGUUGCUGUAACUUCAAAUAUGCUUCAAGGAAUAUUUUCUGAAGUUAUCUAUCUGUUUGUUUUCUAACAUCCUUACUAACUUGAACAUCUUUUGCAGAUAUCUGGAAAACCAGACGUGGCAAAAAGAGCACUUUAUGAAGUGUCUACUCUAUUGCAUAAGAAUCCACGCAAGGACAAACCUCCUUUGGGAUUGGCUAUACCUUUUGGGGGUCAGGGGUUUCAUCUGCGAGGAGCCCCAAAUAUGUUCCCACCUGGCAAUCCAAUGUGGCCUUAUAGGGAACCUUCCCACGGUAUGCCACCAAUGUCAUGGAUAGGAGAAUAUGAAAAUCAUUCCUCUGGAUAUGGUCGAGGAGAUUUUGAUCGUGAUCCUGCGGGGCAUGGGGUUGAAGUUUCAGCUGAGUUUUUUAUAAAGAUUUUGUGUUCAGGUUAUUGGCAAGGGGGGUUUUAAUGUGAAACAGUUACAAGAGGAAACAGGAGCCAAUAUUCAUGUUCAGGCAUGUCUCUGCUUUUGAGGUAUGCAGAUUUUUAAUACAAAACCAUAUCCGUAUGUCUAGCUUAUUUUCAUAUUGGACCUCACAUGGAAAACCUACUCAUCAACUGUUUCUUGGUGGAUUUAUAUGCCACAUUAUAUGCUAGCGGUAGAUCACCUUGCUGAUACUCUUUCAGGUGCUGCGGAGUCCAAGGUCACAAACAAUUGAGGCAAAUCUUCAGCUUCAAAACAAAGCAAGUGAAUUAUCUGAUAAAGGUACGAUCACAACUAGGCUUCUUGUUCCAUCGAGUAAAGUUGGCUGCAUCCUUGGACAAGGAGGAUAGGUUAUUAAUGAGAUGAGAAGGAGAACCCAGGCAGAUAUUCGUGUGUACUCGAAAGAUGAUAGGCCUAAGUGUGCAGCUGAAGAUGAAGAGCUUGUGCAGGUGAUGCUAUUGCGUCCUUUCACUGUUUUAUUCGACUUAUAUAAAAAAAGUAUUGAACGAGAAAGAGCAUGUGAAACUGAUCAUUGGGAAAGUACGUACGUUAUUAGAGUUGUCGAAUGUUAUUCGAUACGUUUAGCUUUGGAUUUGCUAUUUUGAAGAAGCUUGUAAGAAAAAAGACGUUGUGCUUGUUUCAGUUGUUUGAUGUUGUAAUAAAGUCUAAACUGUGAUUUGUGUUUGAUUCUACUCAUUCUAGUCAAUUACUGGGGUGAUCUUUGUGUAUGAUUCGAGUUAGUUAAUUACUGGGGUGAUCGAUGACCCAAUGAUCAAGUGCAUCUUACAAUUAAGUCGGAUUGAAUCUACUUCACCAGACAUUAUGUUCCUGCAGCUAGCUUCCCGAAUAAUAUAUAACUGAAACAAGCUAUCAUUUCAUACAAAACCAAUUCAGCUAAACCAUGAGCUAGGUUGGAAAUGACUUUAUCCAUCGCUACCGCAAACGUGCAUGAGAGUCUUGAUAUCUUCUACCAAGUUACCCUCUCAGAGUCUCAGACCAACAAAAUUCAGAAGUAGCUAGGCGAACUACAUCUUCAAAGCAGUGGACAACAAAAUUUGUUGUUAAUUAUAUUCGGUAUCCAUAUAUAGGAAGAAGAGUGGCCUCAAGAGCAAAAGUUCAGCUGCAAAAGGACAGAAACAACCCCUAACUGGGAGAGCAAUUGACCAAACCUCAUUCCGAUCGAAUAAAAGCUCCUAAUUAAGUCCUAACCCUAGCUCUUAUGCCACUCUUGUUUUCCAGAGCUGCUCCAUCAGUAUUUACUUUGUACCUAUUCGUAUUGCAGGGGUGGACCAUAUCCCAGGUACAACUUCAAUUCUGUUCACUUUUGGUUCAAUGUCCGCAGCAGAGUACGUACGUCGGUACUAUAUUAUAUGAUGAGCUUGCUUUGCAGGAUUUGAAUACAGAAAUUAACAUCGUAAUUAAGUGCUAAUCAUCAAAUUAGCUGUCGCUCUUUGCAAUUAACUGGGAAAGCGUUGGGCUUCUUUAAUUUGGGCCUUCAGAAAAGUUGGGCCAAUGACUUCCAAAAUGGGCCGUCCCCCGCCUUCAUUCUCUGUAAGACUGUAACAUCGCAAGAAUAUGGGAGAGCUCAACCAUGCUCGAAUUUAUCUCUCUACUCUCAGAUGGGGAGUACCACGCGAAGGUGCUCAAUCAUCCUAUAAUUGUUGCUAAUCUUUUAUCUCGGAAAUCGAGAGCUUAUCAUGCAAAUAUUAAAUUGGACCUCCCGUCCAAAACUUUGCAAGCAAGAGCAAAGUGAAAUGUCAUCAACUCAUUCGCUACCAGAAAACAAUUAGCACAUGAUGUUUUCAUUAACCUAACACUCGUAAAUUAUUGUUCAAUUCAAACAAAACUGACGUCCCAUUUGUGUUAUAUUGCUGCCAUCAACUACUCAUUUGCUAUCUGAAAACAUAUGAUAUUCGAUCAUACACCUAACUCUCUCCAUAUUAUUGUUCAAUUUGAGCAAACUGACGUCCCAUUUCCAUAGUCAUCCUUAUGCAAUAUCAAAUGGGAGCACUGGAAAAUUAGUUUGCUAUAUUUUCUUAAUAUAAGUGGGGCGUUAGCCUGAAUUGAUAUCUACAUGAUGAAGAGCGAGAGAUGCAUAAAAAAAGAAUCUUGCAGUCCUUCAAAUAAGAAAAAUGACCCAAAAACAAAAACUGCAAAUAUGGUUUGUACGUCAAAAUCUCAAACUGGAUGGACAAGAACUUGUUUGAUGUUGGUUUAAUCACAACUCGCAUAAUCUCCCGAAUCUUUUCAUUCUUCACUUGGCCUUCAUACCUUUGAUUCUGUGAAACAGUAUAUAAGUCUAGAAUUAAGUAAUUAACAUUCAUUCCACGCGGAUGCCUGUGAUAUAUAACAACUAAAACUUUCAGUUGACCAUCUUUAUUAAAUAGAUUUUCAGAGAACUCGAAUAUAUUGAAUUUUCAGAGAGGGGCCGGGAAUGAACAUUUAUUCUUGCUUAAUCCUAAUCUAAUAUUUCACCCUCCCACGUACAUCACUUGAACAGAUAGAGACCUCAUACCCUAUAAUCCAGGACAAUUUACUUUACGAACAUAUUCCACACUUGAAGAAAAGAAGAAGAAGAAGAAGGUAAAACUAUAUGGUAUAUAUAGUAACAUUUCACAUAUCUUUUAUUUUUUAUUUUAAAAAAAACACACACAUGACUCAUACAUGUCCUACUACAUUUUAAUAUAUUUCAUUUUGAGGCUGUGGUGACUAAGAAAAAGUCUUUGUAAGGUAAAGAAUUGUCCUCAUUAGAUAAGAGCUAGUAAACUAAGUUCUCAUCUCAGUGAUUACUGAGUAAGAGUCUUAAAAGUGGUAAUAUAUCAUAUGUUAACAUAUAUAUUGAAUAGUUAACCGAAAAUAAGUUGCCAAGUUAGCAAGAAACAAUAAUGUCAAAUGCAGACCCAAAUUACCAUGUGGUAGCCCGUCGACCGUCGUGUAGAACAUCACAACUCUGAUGGCAACUGGCAUGAAUCUUCUUAAUCUUUAAUUUGCCAAGUCUUUUAAUACAAACGUUGACGCAAAUGGGAAAUGAAAAAUAAAAAUAAAAAACACGAUUCUUUUAUCUUUAAAUCAGAGGUAAGGGUACUGCAUUUCCUGCACGUAGAACUCAGAAGCUAACUACAGAUCGAUUUCCGAAACAUAGUUUGUCUCUUCUUUCCGAUAAGUAAAUUGACGAUCGAUCGAGGAUAAGAUCAGAGAAUCAAGACCCCAAGUCCACCGUUUACCAGCUCUCCCACUUCCACAGGUACUACUGUAUAUUUCUCUGAUCAACAAAUACAAAAACUUGACUACGCCUUGCAGCUGCAAUUGAGCUCAUUUCAUAUGUUUGUGUUUUUCUUCUUGACAGAUCUAGAGCAUAUGGCAGCUACGGCGGCCUUCUCCAGUGCUAUCGUGCUUAAACUUUUAACCACAAAUAACUAUGAAGAUUGGAGUUUUCGGGUCAAAACCUAUUUGCUGGCCAAGGGUCUUUGGAAGGUGGUCGAAUCCGCCAUGGAACCUCCUAGAGUAGAAGAUGGUGAGGCCGAAUUUGAGGCUUGGAGUGAGAAGAACGCAGAGGCUUUGCAUGCUAUUCAUAUUACUUGCGGGGAAGAUAUCUUUCCUUUUAUCCGGGGAAUCGACACAGCUAAAGCUGCCUGGAAUACUUUGGAAAAGAAAUUGAAGCCGGCUGGACUACCAAAAACAGAAGGUACGUACAUCUCAAAAUAAACCGAUGAAGGAAAACAUAUAUUCAAUAUUUGUCAUCGCACAUUAUCGGGUAGUGGAUUUUCAUUUUUCUUGAUUCAUAUAUAGACUUGGUAGAAAUUAUCCUUUUUUCUGAUUAUUGUCCAGAUGCGAGAUCUGAGCAUCAGUCCCCAAUGGAUGGUGAACUACAGCUAAAAGACCUCAAACCAGAACCAGUAAUAGAAGGUAUCAUCUCGAUCGACCCUCCUAUACUUUUUUCCCACGGUGCUAGUAGUUUAUUUGUUUAUUGGGACAGAAGGCUUAUAUUUUUCCUUGAGAGAAUGACGUCAGAGUCUAUAACAAAACAAAAAAUAAAAUGUCAAUUGCAAACAUGACUUACCUGUAGGGCAAUCGAUUUGGGCAGGAUGCAACAACAAUGCCAGUUCCACCACCAAUGAUCUUGACCGCGGCUCCUAUCAACAUUUCUUCGAUUGUGUGGAAUAUUAUUGGAGGCGUAACAACGAAGGUGAUGCCCUCGAGUUUCUUAAAGAGUAUCCACACCCAAUAAGAGAACUAAGACAUCCAUCAUCCGACAUUCCAGCUCUUCACUUCGCAAUGAUGAACGAUAAUUCGACUAUUGUAGAUGAGUUGGUGCGAAUAAUGACAGAGGACGACUUGGAAGAAAUAUUGGAUCCUUCUGGUCGUACAGCUAUUUGUUGUGCUAUUGAAAAUCCUUAUACAGUUGCACUGGAAACUGUAAAAGUCAUGAUUGAAAAGAACAAGAAGUUACUUAGCAUUGUUGAUCCUUCCACCAAUAUGAUCCCGCUUGUCAUGGCUCAUGGAGCUACAUGGUACAGUGUUGACGUGGUUAAGUAUCUGAAUUCUGUCACUCCACUCGAAACUCUCAAUGCUCACCAAGCAGCCCAAAUUAUUUCUCAAGCUUUUCUUCUUAAAAGAUUCGGUAAGUAAGAUUUUCACUUACUCGAUCAUCAAUUCAUCAUAUAUAACUAAUUUGAUGUCUCCUAGCAAUUAGUGAGUCUGCCAGUCUGGUAGUCUUCCUACAACAAAUAUAUUUUUUCUAGAGUUUGUUUAUAUAUUUCUCAUGUUAUAUUUAUUUUCUUUUUUUGACUUUAUUACAGAUAUUUCGUGGGAUUUAAUCCAGCGCUACCCAAGUUUGGGUAUUACUAAAGACUUAUCCGGAAAAUAUCCUUUGAAUAGAUUGGUUGAGAGCAUGAAAUGGGAACAUUUAUUUUUGAGUGAAACCGGACAACUUCUGGCAACAAUGGAUUUAUGACCGUAACUAGUCUACCAUAUUUUUCUCUUCUUUUUUAUUAAGCUUCUGUCCACUACUCAUCCAAGGUGCCUAAAUUUUUGUGUUUUCACAUAUCCUGAUACAGGUAUAGUCAUACCACCUUCUCCGAAAAUAGAUGAUAACAGUACCAUAAACGUUAAUGACCCAGAAAAUCACAAAUGUAAUCAAAGGUGUCUCAUUCACUCGGGUAUGUUUACCUAAUUCACAACGACUACAACAACAUAUGCUCAACCCCAUCGAUCUUUUAUUCGACAUCUCUUCAUUUCGUUACAACUAUAUGUUCACAUAUUUGUUCUUGAAUUUUUACAUUGCAGUUACCAGUUUAUUCAGACGAUUUUUCGGAGGACUUUUGGGUAUGAUAGGUUACCGCACAUCCAUGAUUUUCCCAUUCAAUUGUGUGUUACUUACCAAAUUAUCUAUAUAUACGUUGUUAAUUGUAUAUUGUCUUCAUGGUUAAUGUAGGAAUCAGUCGCAUACAACGUAUGAAAUUGGUACAUGCCCAAGUUCAUGAAUUUUUACAUUGCAUUUGUGAAGUGAUGAAAAAUAAAGAUGUUACUCAAAUACAAGAUGACAGCCUUCUUCGGUCAGCCAUUUUCCAAGCAGUAGAACAAGGAAAAAUUGAGUUCAUCACUCAUAUAUGUAGUGCAAAUCCAAACAUCUACCAAAUUACUAAUGAACAAGACAUGACCUUGUUUCAAUUUGCAGCUGACUGUCGUCAAGAAAAUAUAUAUAGCCUCGUGUAUGUAUAUUAUCGCAUAAAAAGAAUUGAGAUUUUUCAGAGGAGAGACAAGUUUGACAAUAAUAUGCUACAUAUAGUCGGAAAUUUUUCGUCAUUUGCCCAAACUAGAGUUGACAGUAUACGGGGUGCAGCUUUACAAUUGCAGCGAGAACGACAAUGGUUUAAGGUUAGUAUUUAUCUAUUUUCAAAUUUGCUAGUCUUUUUGUUUUUGGUUGGGAAUACCAAUAUGUUACAAAUAAAUUCGCUAAAAGAGAAGAAAAUUAUAAGUUAUCAGUAUCAUCAUGUUGUGUAAGAAAGUUCAAAUUUUACCAUGCAUGGGAUGAAAUGCAGGAGGUGCAAUCUCAGGCAGAGCUUGAGUCACUUGAAGUUAUAAAUCAUAUGGAUCAAGCGCCACCGCGUGUGGUAUUUACCAAAUAUCAUAGAGAAUUAAUGAAGGAGGGAGAAAAGUCAAUGAAAGAAACUGCAACUUCAUGUACAGUUGUAGGUGCGCUUAUUGUCACUAUGAUGUUUGCGGCAGCAUUUACAGUUCCUGGCGGAAACAAUGAAGAUACAAGUGCACCUAUGUUCUUAAAGGCAAAGGAGUUCAUGGUAUUCAUUAUCUCAGAUGCUAUAUCAUUGUUUUCUUCUACAACUUCGGUGAUGAUAUUUUUAGGAAUUCUCACAUCACGUU